ensembl:lncRNA
UGAUGAGCCAUUCUCUCAGAGAAUAUCAGCCGGUUCCUUUCAUAGCCAAGCUCAUCAGCAUGUCUGGUGAUUGUGCAUUGUGGUAUCUGCAAACAAGCGAUAUAUAUUCCACGGGCCACCCUUUCAGGGUGUUUGUAAGAUUCAUGUUAAAAAAGAUGGGCUUUGGUUUGCUUCCAAGUCACGAAAACGUGGCUCUACUGCUUUAGCUGAUGAAAUAAGAAGGCGCCUCAGAGACAUCUAUGCUUUGCUGGACUGUCUUCUUUCCUUCAGGAGCCCCAGGAUGUAAACACGUAAACGACUAUUCAAGGCCAGGUUCCCUGAGAGCCUCAACUGGAGUUCCUCUCCCUGGGGAAGUGAUGAUAAUGACUUUUUCUUUGGCAAAUCCCUUUCUAUCCUUAUCUCCUUGCAGGAUUGUACAACCCUUCUGUCCAGUGGCCCUGGGAACUUCUAGGACUUCCUGAGCCUGUUUUUGCCUAUUUAUUGUGCUGUUUCCUCUGGAAGCUGCUUCAACACUUAAUCUGGUGAAUGCUGGGGUCAAAGGAAGUGCGUAGACUUGACCCAGGCUCUGCAUCCCUCCUCUAGUGCCCCACGCUCUCUCUGGAUCCUAGUCAUACCAGCCAUCUCCAGGCCCUCCAGGAUCCUUUGCUUCUGCCCUCCUCAUAAGGAUAGAGUAAAGGGGCAAAGUAGGUGAUUAAAUAGUUAAUCCCACUAGGGUAUUGUAAGUAGAAAAAAAAAAUAACUUACAGGUUAUUGAUUUACAUUAAUGGUUAGUAAAUUAAUGGUUACUCAGGAAAGCAGGUUUGCUUAACUACAAAACCAGGCAGGCCUGCUUAGCAACAAAACCAUACAACAGAAACAUGAGACAUGACCCCAAACAAUAAAACAGUGGUGGCUUAAGACCCA